UACGUAGGGCGCAAGCGUUGUCCGGAAUUAUUGGGCGUAAAGAGCUCGUAGGCGGCUUGUCACGUCGGAUGUGAAAGCCCGGGGCUUAACUCCGGGUCUGCAUUCGAUACGGGCUGACUAGAGUGUGGUAGGGGAGAUCGGAAUUCCUGGUGUAGCGGUGAAAUGCGCAGAUAUCAGGAGGAACACCGGUGGCGAAGGCGGAUCUCUGGGCCAUUACUGACGCUGAGGAGCGAAAGCGUGGGGAGCGAACAGG
rnacentral:rRNA from 1 species